GACGAACCGUGCGAACGUUAUUCGGAAUCACUGGGCUUAAAGCGUGUGUAGGCGGGUCGUUAAGUACCUUGUGAAAUCCCACGGCUCACCCGUGGAACUGCUGGGUAUACUGGCGAUCUUGGGCCAUUCAGGGGCAACUGGAACAAACGGUGGAGCGGUGAAAUGCGUAGAUAUCGAGAGGAACACCUGCGGCGAAGGCGGGUUGCUGGGCUGACACUGACGCUGAGGCGCGAAAGCUAGGGGAGCGAACGGG
rnacentral:rRNA from 1 species